rnacentral:rRNA from 1 species
UACGGGGGGGGCAAGCGUUGUUCGGAAUUACUGGGCGUAAAGGGCUCGUAGGUGGUCAACUAAGUCGGACGUGAAAUCCCUCGGCUUAACCGGGGAACUGCGUCCGAUACUGGAUGACUUGAGUUCGGGAGAGGGAUGCGGAAUUCCAGGUGUAGCGGUGAAAUGCGUAGAUAUCUGGAGGAACACCGGUGGCGAAGGCGGCCUACUGGGCUGUCUCUGACGCUGAGGCGCGAAAGCUCGGGGAGCGAACGGG